rfam:Pragia fontium strain 24613, complete genome.
UAUUGUUAACGGAACUUGGCACGGGCGUUGAGGAAACUCUACGCCCGUGUACGCAUAUAUAGGGUAAAGUCCACAGA